AUAACUUAAAUUCUGGUAUAAGGGCGUCAGAAGAUAUUGAUAUGUUUGUCAAUCCAAUAACAUCUCAAUCUUUCUUCAAAUCUUCAUCUGGUUUUAUUGACUCCUUCAAACUUCUUGUCUACAUCGACUAUUGGAGUACAAAAAUGUAGCUUUCUAAAGUAGAUUUUAAGAUUUCAAAGAUGAGGAAAGGACCAUUGUGCCCCUGGCUUAUUGGCUAAUGAACUCUCCUCAUCAAAAAAUCCCUAUCUAAAAUAAUCACCAAUCACCAGAGUAUGUGCUUGCUUGGAUUUAGUAAUUUUCACAUUACUACCGGACAAUCUUUUUCAUAUUUGAUAAUUAUGAUCCUUCAGUGUUAAUCUUGUUUUGACAAUGCUUAGCUUUAUCUCUUCGGUUGACCUUAGCAGACUUGCAGUUGAACUAGAAAGGGGAACUAUUUGGCUCUCAAUGGAAGAAGGUUAAUAAUUUGUUCUAUGCAAGAAAGCCUCAGUGAGAGAUGGAUGCCUAAUUGCAUGCUGAAUACAAGAAACUGUUAAAGGUGGCAAUGACUUGGUCAUAUAUUCAUAUUAGUUUUUAGUAGUAACAUUUACACAAGUUGGAGUUGGAUAUACAUAUCACAACUUGGUCUUAUAUUCAUAUUAGUCAAAAGAUAAAGCAAAGAAUUACCCUGAUCAAAUCUGAGAUAUCAAGUACAAAAAUGCAUCAAUCGAGGAGAUUCCUAAGGCAGUUCAAAGCACAACCAUUACACGCCACACCUACAAAAAAAAUCACAUUCAAGUUUCCGACACUAAAAAGCCCUUUUUCUUCUUUAUUAAUCCCAUUAAGGUCUGCUCAAGUCCUUUGGUGAAUGGUGUAGUAUGCAAUAUUGAAUUAUAACAAAUAGAGAUUGUUUAGUUUUUAUCCUGACGAUAGCUUCUGUAUUGGAUUUGAGGCUGGUGCAAUUGCAAAUACAAAGUCUCAUCAAGCAUCAUUCAGGAACAUUGAAUAUCAUGGUUGCCCGAGGGCUUGCACAGAAUCUGUAUGAAUUUUAAUCUUUUGUAUGUCUAUUAAUGUUUUUUUUUUUUUGUCUUUUUAAAAUUCAUCAGAUUUGGGUUUGCUAAUGGUGCACGGUUUGGACUUGGAUACUAAGAGUGUUUGGGUUUGCUUAUUAGCUUAUGCUCUUCAAAACAUUGUUAAAAAGUGUUUGCAUUUGUUUUUACAUGUAGCAAAUUAUUUAUGGAUGGAAAAUAAAGUAUUUGGUUUGAUAA